UACGAAGGGGGCUAGCGUUGCUCGGAAUGACUGGGCGUAAAGGGCGCGUAGGCGGUUCGUACAGUCAGACGUGAAAUUCCCGGGCUCAACCUGGGGGCUGCGUUUGAUACGUGCGAGCUUGAGUUCGGAAGAGGGUCGUGGAAUUCCCAGUGUAGAGGUGAAAUUCGUAGAUAUUGGGAAGAACACCGGUGGCGAAGGCGGCGAUCUGGGAAGAUACUGACGCUGAGGUGCGAAAGCGUGGGGAGCAAACAGG
rnacentral:rRNA from 1 species